rnacentral:lncRNA from 1 species
UCUAGAAAUACUUCUGAGACUCACUGGGCCAAAAAUAGCCUGAAGGUAGCCAAAAAGAGCAGAGCCAUCCCUCUGGGCAGACCCCAUCCUGAAUGUACCAGCACGGCUGAAUAUUUCCACAGAGAUCCUGUUUCCUAUAAAGAAUCUUCCACUUUUUUUUUUUUUGUGUGCAGUCUGUUCCUCUCCCUGGACUUUUUUCCCCCCACAAAUAAACCUUAAUUGUUUGUUUUCCCUGCAAACAGCAAAGAGAGCCAUAUUGCAACCAUAAAAGUAAUGUCAUGUGAGUUCCCAUCUCAUCAACUCUCCAUGACUGCUGAGUCACGCCUGGGUAGUUUUCAAGUGCUACUACAGCAUUAGAAGACAUUUCACAGAAGUCCUGAUAAUUUAUUGGAAAGAGGUGGCCUUUUUCCAUGAAACAGGCUCUGUGGUUUUGAGGUGAUCUCCGUUCAUUGCUGAAGAUGGAAGGAGAUCUGGAGCUGGUCGUGGCUACUGAAGAGGGCAGAGACCUGAUGCAUCAUUUUAGGAGGAGUAGAGGAUCACCUUUUGCCAGUCCUCCAGUGGAGAGUGGUCCCAACGUUGUACCAGGAGACGGCAGUGGCGUGGAGAAGCAGAGGUGGUUGCGACGACCAAAACUGCAUCCACUCUCCAGCCACCAGAAGACAUCUACCAGUGGGACUGCAGAUGUGAAGCUAAGAGCAAAGCUUUUCCCACACAUGCCCUCCCCUGAAAAAGAACAACUCCUCCUUCCUAACUCCAGAGCCGCUGCUUGA